rnacentral:misc_RNA from 1 species
AAAGAAAAAAAAAAUGUUUUCCUUGUGCAAGAGGGACAAGUUUAAGCAAGUUCAAGAAAAAGGGGAUUAGACUGCAAAAACCAUUAUCAUGUCCAAUGAGUGUACCUAAUGCGGUUAAAAAGGGAGUAUCCCAUCCUGUGUUGUCUUGUUCGUCUCUUGUACCAAACACAGGGUAAUUAUUAAAUACUAUUGUGAUUUUAUGGUAGUUGAAAUAGAAAUGGAUUAGCUGAACAAUAAUAAUCAUGAAUAAAAUUGUCAGUUAGCACUCACCAUUUUUUUCCUUAUGCAUUUG